CCUACGGGAGGCAGCAGUGAGGAAUAUUGGUCAAUGGCCGGAAGGCUGAACCAGCCAAGCCGCGUGAAGGACGAAGGUGCCAAGCAUUGUAAACUUCUUUUGUCAAGGGACAAAAUCAGGCUCGAGAGCCUGACCGAGGGUACUUGAAGAAAAAGCAUCGGCUAACUCCGUGCCAGCCGCCGCGGUAAUAGGGGGGAUGCGAGCUUUAUCCGGAUUUAUUGGGGUAAAGGGGUGCGUAGGCGGACUGUUAAGUCAGCGGUAAAAGCCCGGGGCUCAACCCCGGCGAGCCGUUGAAACUGGCUGUCUUGAGAUGUCGAGAGGUAUGCGGAAUGCGCAGUGUAGCGGUGAAAUGCUUAGAUAUUGCGCAGAACUCCGAUUGCGAAGGCAGCAUACCGGCGGCGAUCUGACGCUGAGGCACGAAAGCGUGGGUAUCGAACAGGAUUAGAUACCCCUGUAGUC
rnacentral:rRNA from 1 species